rnacentral:rRNA from 1 species
GAUGAACGCUGGCGGCGUGCUUAACACAUGCAAGUCGAACGGGAAAUAUUUCAUUGAGACUUCGGUGGAUUUGAUUUAUUUCUAGUGGCGGACGGGUGAGUAACGCGUGGGUAACCUGCCUUAUACAGGGGGAUAACAGUCAGAAAUGGCUGCUAAUACCGCAUAAGCGCACAGAGCUGCAUGGCUCAGUGUGAAAAACUCCGGUGGUAUAAGAUGGACCCGCGUUGGAUUAGCUAGUUGGUGGGGUAACGGCCCACCAAGGCGACGAUCCAUAGCCGGCCUGAGAGGGUGAACGGCCACAGUGGGACUGAGACACGGCCCAGACUCCUACGGGAGGCAGCAGUGGGGAAUAUUGCACAAUGGGGGAAACCCUGAUGCAGCGACGCCGCGUGAAGGAAGAAGUAUCUCGGUAUGUAAACUUCUAUCAGCAGGGAAGAUAGUGACGGUACCUGACUAAGAAGCCCCGGCUAACUACGUG